UACGUAGGGGGCGAGCGUUGUCCAGAUUUAUUGGGCGUAAAGCGCCCGCAGGCGGUGCGCCAAGUGUGGGGUGACAGCGACCGGCUUAACCGGUCGAGUGUCCUACAGACUGGCGCACUUGAGGGCCACAGAGGAACACAGAAUUCCGGGUGGAGUGGUGAAAUGCGUAGAUAUCCGGAGGAAUACCAAAGGCGAAGGCAGUGUUCUGGGUGGUACCUGACGCUCAGGGGCGAAAGCUAGGGGAGCGAACGGG
rnacentral:rRNA from 1 species